GUGCUUACUUCGGCAGAACAUGUACUAAAAUUGGAAUGAUACAGAGAAGACUAGCAUGGCCCCUGUGCAAGGAUGAUACACAGAUUUGUGAAACAUUCUAUAUUUUU